rfam:Schistosoma mattheei strain Denwood, Zambia genome assembly, scaffold: SMTD_scaffold0002475
AUUUGACUGACGAGUCCUAAAUAGGACGAAACAUGCGUCCUGGAC